rnacentral:rRNA from 1 species
CGGGUAGGAGGUAACGCGUGAGGAACCUGCCUCAAAGAGGGGGACAACAGUUGGAAACGACUGCUAAUACCGCAUAAGCCCACAGCUCGGCAUCGAGCAGAGGGAAAAGGAGUGAUCCGCUUUGAGAUGGCCUCGCGUCCGAUUAGCUAGUUGGUGAGGUAACGGCCCACCAAGGCGACGAUCGGUAGCCGGACUGAGAGGUUGAACGGCCACAUUGGGACUGAGACACGGCCCAG